AUGCCAGACAUUGUUCUAAGUGUGGUUCUAAGCCCUGGGCCCCACCCACAGGUCCUGCCCUCGAGUCUGUCUGUGUGUUCUGUCCACUGGUUCUGUCUGCAACUUUCAUCUGUGGGCUCUGUCCACAGGUUCUGCCCGAAGGCUCCAUAUGCAGGCUCCAUCCCUGGGUCCCGUCCCCAGGUUUUACUCUCGAGUCUGUUUGUGGGUUCUAUUCAUUGGUUCUCUCUGCAGGUUUCAUCCAUGAGCCUUGUCCGUGGGCUCCAUCCAAGGACUCCAUCUGAAUUUCCCCAUGUUCCAUCCCUACCCUCCAGGCUGGAGCCCCAGGUGCCGGGGAAGCUGUCUGCGGGAGCGAGCCUAACGCCGACGCCGGGGAGGCUGAGCCUUGGAGGCCGAGCCCCUGGAGGCGGAGCCCGUGGAGGCCGAGCCCGUGGAGGCCGAGCCCGUGGAGGCCGAGCCCGUGGAGGCCGAGCCCGUGAAGGCCGGGCGGGCUGAGCCCGGGGAGGUCGAGCCCGUGGUCGCUGAGCCCGGGGAGGCCGGGCGGGUUGAGCCCGUGGAAGCUGAGCCCGUGGAAGCUGAGCCCGUGGAAGCUGAGCCCGUGGAGGCCGGGCGGGCUGAGCCCGGGGAGGUCGAGCCCUUGGAGGCCGGGCAGGCUUAGCUGGUGGAAGCUUAGCCCGCGGAGGCCGAGCUCGGUCCGUCGGCGGUGAAGCCCGGGGUCCUCGCAGUUGUGGCGCAGCCUCGCCCCGGGCCCCGCCCCCGCCCCCAGACUGCGGCCGAGUUUCCCCAGCCGAGACGGCUCGGAGCUGCCCCUCGCCCCCUCCCCCUGCCCCACCGCACCUCCCCCACCCCCUUACCCCCCCCCCCACCCCCUUUCUCCCCCCGCC
rnacentral:lncRNA from 1 species